rnacentral:misc_RNA from 1 species
UUUCCGUAGGUGAACCUGCGGAAGGAUCAUUAAAAAUGAAAAACGAAUAACUUCAGGGAAGAAGGGAACCUGCACGGUGACCUCCCCUGUCGGGCCACCCAAUACCUUCAAAAUGCCGCCGUCCUAGCGGUGGCAGACGAAAAAAAAGCAAGAAAAACAAAAUAGAAACAGGUACGGUGGCCCGUUCACCUUCAAACAACCCUCCGAGUACCGCUUCCAUGUUGCUUCCCCGCAAAUCCACCUCUUUGGUGAGCGCGGGGGAGGUCCGCAUCAAAUUAACCUGAAGGUCACAGAAGUCAGACAGCCAUUCAUGGAAACAAUAAAACUUUCAACAACGGAUCUCUUGGUUCCC